rnacentral:lncRNA from 1 species
AAAAAAAAAAUAUAUAUAUAUAUGUGUGUGUGUGUGGGUGUGUGUUAAGGUUAUAUGGAAUACUCGGCUUUCCUUUUUUUGUGAGAUGGGGAUCUCACACUGUGGCUCAGGCUGGAGUGCAGUGGCGUGAUCAUGGCUCGCUGCAGCCUCGAAGCCCUGGGGUCAAGUGAUCCUCUCACCUCAGCCUCCCAAGUAGCUGGAACCACAGGCACGCAACCAUCACUCCUGGCUAAUUUUAUUUUUUUAGUAAAAUAAGGUCUCACUAUGUUGCACAGGUUGGUCUCUAACUCCUUACCUCAAGCCAUCCUCCUACCUUGGACUCCCAAACGUGUUGGGAUUACAGGUGUGAGCCACUGGACCUGGCCAAAUACUGGGUUUUCAGUGCUCAGUGCCACUAAUAAAAAUCUGAAAUUCUUUCAUUAUGCAAUUUCUAAGUGCCUGGUGAGGGCCAAGCUCAGUUCUAGGCUCUGAAGAUUAAGAGGGAAACAAAGCUCUGCCUGCUCCUGUUGUCUCUGUGAGCAUCUUUGACAGAGUGCUCAGAUUGUUGGGAUACAGUGCAUCGGACUGGCAGCCUGAAUUCGUGGAGACUGCAGUCAGUAACUUUGUGAUAUAUGUAGUAUUUAGAGGACAAUGACCCAUUUCCCUACCUGCUGCCUGAUCACAUCACACCCUGCUGGGCCAUACUCCAAACAGCCCACCUUCCUCUAGGCCUGGCCAUGGCCCUGUGCUUGCCACAUUGAGGAUUAAGUCAGGAUAUCUUGAGCUUUCUCAAAUCCCUGUUUAUUCAGGCCUCUGACACAUAUAGAGCCAGCCUUCUCUCCCCACCACUUCCACUACCAUGGAGCCCACUUAGUAAAACCCUCUCUGGGCCCAGCUUCACCAGAAAAGACACCAGGGGAGCAAGGCUCAAACCAGGGGCAGCUAAAUCUGAUCUUGUGGACCAGUCUUUAGUAAGGGCUUUCAGCUUGGCUGUCUGUCCAUUGCUUUCCAAAUAGGAUGCAGCAAUGAUUGGUACAUGGAUAUUAAGAUCGGUAGUAGGGGCUAGUCCAAGUUUAGCAAUAGCCAAACUGGAGAGCCUCUGAAGUAUGAGAGUCCCAGAGGGAUUUGUCAGCUCCUGGCAGACAUCCUGAGUUUCACCUUCCUGAGUCUACCCUCCCGCAAAGGGUGCCAGUCUCACUGUGGUGAUGGUUAGCCCAGUGUGCGCUGCACUCACACUGCAGCACAGGAUCGGUGCUUGCAGGCUGGUGGAUGCUGUCCUCUGGGUUAAGACUGUAUCCCUUCUGGGGAGCACUGGAGGCUUCUCCCAUCUGCAGUGUUUCAGCAGAAGUUGGCAGAUAUGAAAACAGGCCCCCUGUAGGGAAGUAGUUCCAUGAAAAUGAUUAAUUCUUUCCAAAAGACUUAAAAUUCUUUCCUAUUUCAGUUUUUCCUUUCAAAAAAGGAAAUACAUUCAUGUAAUUCAAAACUUAACAAGUCUGUUCAGCAGAAGACUCCCGCUCUGUGUCCCCAAACACUGAGCCCCAUCCCCCAUCCCUGGUAGCAAGAAGUGUUUCCAAUUUAAAGGUUAAGAAGCAAAGUCCCUGGAUUUGUAUUAGGGAUGUCUUCCUGAGAAUGUGAGUUGUGUUCCAUUUGACCCUGGCAGUUGACCUCGGCCCACUAGGAUCAUGCCGCCCUCUCCAGGGAGGAGGGUCUCCCCAUCACCCCGUACAGUGGCACCCUGACCCUGGCACUGCCCUUCCUUGCUCAGCAUACCUUUCCCGUGGCACUCACGUGAUGGGUAUUUGGUUUCUGAAGUUACUGGUUGUUUACCCUGCCCGGAUGUAAGCCCCUCCAGGGCAGGGGCUUGUCUCGUGUUCAGCGCUGCAUCCCAGCUGCUGGGCACAGUGCCUGGUCCAUGGCGUUCAAUAAAUAACUGUUA